CACGGGGGGAGCAAGCGUUGUCCGGAAUCACUGGGCGUAAAGGGCGUGUAGGCGGUCAGGUAAGUGGGACGUGAAAUACCUCGGCUCACCCGAGGAGCGGCGUCCCAAACUGCUUGGCUUGAGUAUGGGAGAGGUUGUGGGAAUUCCUGGUGUAGCGGUGAAAUGCGUAGAUAUCAGGAGGAACACCGGUGGCGAAGGCGCACAACUGGCCCAAUACUGACGCUGAUGCGCGAAAGCUAGGGGAGCAAACGGG
rnacentral:rRNA from 1 species